UCUAUUUGUGUCGAUUUUUCUCACUUUUUGCACAUUCAUUUCACGUGAAGAAAUACACGCGAUUGGCUAUGAGCAAGAUGAAAAUACGAUAUCUCUAGAUUCACGGGAGCACAAACCAUAGUGAACAUUCCGUAAAGCGUAUAUGCAUGCAUAUAUGUUUCAGUGAUACCUUUAUCUUUAUAACCUCUGCAGUUUGAACGGUUUUGAGAUACACAAUCGACCCCCAGUUCUAUCCCGACUCUUUCCAUGCCUAAACAAACUACAAUGGCUCAAAACCGACUACUGAAUCUGAUUAAGAGUAAUGAUUAUUGUGUGGUGAAGAAAAAUUGUGAACAACUUCUUCUAAUAUAUAAUUAGAUCGAUAUACCCAACCCUGAUAUAUGCAAUGUGUCAAUAACUAUUCCUAAAAAGCGAAAUUAAAGAAACAUAUCAAAACGUAUACAUGGUUCAAGCACCAUCUGAAAUAGGUCAGAACAGUUGAUACCCUGCCGAAAAUGGUCGAUUGAUCGAUUUUUAAGAAAUAAUUUUGGCCUGUGGUGCUCACCUACAAAGAAACCUGAUUUAGGCAGCAGUGAGAACGACGACAACAAAUUACUAACGGAUUUCGAGGAAAGUUUGAGUUGCGCCGCGAACUCCGGGCACCUUCUCCACCAUUUGUGUUCAGCUGGAUGUGGAAAGUCUGGUGGUCAACGCGUUGCUGUAGUACCAUCAAUUCACGACAUAGACGAAACCAAUACGUUUGUGGCGUUUCACAAUCAACAACGUCUGUCCGUUCAGAUCAGCGACAACUCGAUAUGGCAACGGGUGAUGCUGCUGCGAUUAUUCCCAGCUACGCUGAAAUCACCCUUUGCAAUCUGGCAUUCAAGACGUUGUGAAUCAUGGUAAAUGCAUGAUUGAUCGAAGUCUAUUUAUAAGAAUAUAUUAGCAGACAAUCAACUGAUGCACUUUUAUUGCGAUUUUAGAUGGCAAAGAUCUUCAAGUGCUUUACUAUUUUACAAAUACGCAUCAGUGUUUAUUCUUCCGCCAGAAAUUGAAUUCGGCGUAACGAUAAUAGCGUACAAAGCAUAAAAUAACUAGACAGAAGCUGAUACUGAAAUGAGACGAUGUGAUUGGUCGGCGUAAGUUACCGCAAGUUACGCGUACGCAAGUUACGCCUCAUGUGACGGCACCCUAAGUCUAUAUAUUUUACGUGUAUGAUAUAAGUUCUGUCUUUCCAAAUUAUUUGAUUUAUGGAUUUGUUAGCAAAACGAU